rnacentral:rRNA from 1 species
GAUGAACGCUAGCGGGAGGCUUAACACAUGCAAGUCGAGGGGCAUCACGAGGUAGCAAUACUUUGGUGGCGACCGGCGCACGGGUGAGUAACGCGUAUGCAACCUUCCUUUAACUGGGGGAUAGCCCGGAGAAAUUCGGAUUAAUACCCCAUAACAUCAUGAAAAGGCAUCUUUUUAUGAUUAAAGCUCCGGCGGUUAAAGAUGGGCAUGCGUGCCAUUAGCUUGUUGGUGAGGUAACGGCUCACCAAGGCUACGAUGGUUAGGGGGUCUGAGAGGAUGAUCCCCCACACUGGUACUGAGACACGGACCAGACUCCUACGGGAGGCAG